AAGAGCUCCUGAAGAUUGAAGAUAGAAGAAGGUGCCGGAAGUCCUGGAGAGUGACGGCAGAUGUGAAAGAGCUGUUACAUUGUAAAACCCCACUGGUACUAGUUCCAGGGUAUUACAACAUGGCGCCGCCUGCCGGGUGAAGUACAAGGAGCCGACGGCUGUUGGUGAAGACGUCGGAAGCCCUGGGACAGCGGUGUGUGACGGAAAAGAGCUUUUGCCAGCCACCGCUGCCCAGGUGAAGACUCCAGGAAACCUGGAGGUGGUGGGAGCCAUCCUGCCUCCUUCGAAGACCACAAGGUGGGCGAGGCAGGACCAGGCUUGGUCCAGCCACAGCCCUUAGGAUGGCCAGGCCCCCCUCAUUAAAGGGAGGCUGUCGGAAGAUACGCGUUGGU